UACGUAGGGGGCGAGCGUUGUCCGGAAUUAUUGGGCGUAAAGAGCGUGUAGGCGGUUCGGUAAGUCUGCCGUGAAAACCUGAGGCUCAACCUCGGGCGUGCGGUGGAUACUGCCGGGCUAGAGGACGGUAGAGGCGAGUGGAAUUCCCGGUGUAGCGGUGAAAUGCGCAGAUAUCGGGAGGAACACCAGUAGCGAAGGCGGCUCGCUGGGCCAUACCUGACGCUGAGACGCGAAAGCGUGGGGAGCGAACAGG
rnacentral:rRNA from 1 species